rnacentral:ncRNA from 1 species
AAGGCCUGAUGUGUGUGAGAUUACCCGCUGAAUUUAAGCAUAUAAGUAAGCGGAGGAAAAGAAACUAACUAGGAUUCCCUUAGUAAUGGCGAAUGAACAGGGAUCAGCUCAGUGCCAAAUCGGAAUCACUUGUGGUUCUGAAAUGUGGCUUGAAGGCAGUACCAGUGGCAUCGCGGACGAAAGUCUCUUGGAAAAGAGCGUCAUAGAGGGUGAGAAUCCCGUGAGUCGUUCGCCGUUUGUCACGUACGGUCUGCGUUCUAACGAGUCGCGUUCCUUGGGAUUGGAGCGUAAACGGGUGGUAAAAUUCAUCCAAAGCAAAAUAUAUACUCGAGACCGAUAGCACAAAAGUACCGUGAGGGGAAAGGUGAAAAGACCUUUGAGAAGGGGGUAAAUAGUGCCUGAAAUCGUUGAGAGGAAGCGGAUGCCGCGUUGCAUAUGCUGAUUG